rnacentral:rRNA from 1 species
GCGCAUUAGCUAGUUGGUGAGGUAACGGCUCACCAAGGCGACGAUGCGUAGCCGACCUGAGAGGGUGAUCGGCCACACUGGGACUGAGACACGGCCCAGACUCCUACGGGAGGCAGCAGUAGGGAAUCUUCCGCAAUGGACGAAAGUCUGACGGAGCAACGCCGCGUGAACGAUGAAGGUCUUCGGAUCGUAAAGUUCUGUUGUUAGGGAAGAACAAGUACCGUGCGAAUAGAGCGGUACCUGACGGUACCUAACGAGGAAGCCCCGGCUAACUACGUGCCAGCAGCCGCGGUAAUACGUAGGGGGCAAGCGUUGUCCGGAAUUAUUGGGCGUAAAGCGCGCGCAGGCGGUUCCUUAAGUCUGAUGUGAAAGCCCACGGCUCAACCGUGGAGGGUCAUUGGAAACUGGGGAACUUGAGGAGGACAGAGGAGAGUGGAAUUCCACGUGUAGCGGUGAAAUGCGUAGAUAUGUGGAGGA